rnacentral:rRNA from 1 species
UACGGAAGGUCCGGGCGUUAUCCGGAUUUAUUGGGUUUAAAGGGAGCGCAGGAAGGUUAUUAAGCGUGACGUGAAAUGUAGCCGCUCAACGGCUGAACUGCGUCGUGAACUGGUAGUCUUGAGUGAGUACGACGCGGACGGAAUUCGUGGUGUAGCGGUGAAAUGCUUAGAUAUCACGAAGAACUGCGAUUGCGAAGGCAGUCCGCGAGUCCUUUACUGACGCUAAAGCUCGAAGGUGCGGGUAUCGAAC